GGGUUUGAACGCUCUCAUACUGAAGUAAAACAUUAAACUACACAGACUCUUAUCUGUUUCCAGGUAAACUGCGGCUCAGGACGCUCUGAAUGGAGUCCAGCAAGCUCGUAAUUUUACAUGUGUCCUUUGCACCACGCUUGUGACUCGGGUGGAAAUGGGUGUCAAAGGGAGGGGCGGAGCCAGCUAAUGGUUACACUGAGUUAAACAAAUGAGCAGAGGGGGCGAGUCACAGAGGGGGCGGAGCCAGAGGCACAAACAGACACACCCACACAAGCAAAGUGAUUAUCUCAGUGGAAAAAUGGUCCAGAUGUCUCCUGCAUCCCUGCAGAUUCAUGUUCUCUUUUUUUAAGUAUCACAGCAGGAGCGGCCCGGAAUGACCUAGAUCUGUAAAGGAGCGACGGCGGGACGUGCUGAGACGCUUACAGACAGAAAUACUGCUUAUUUUAGUGUUCCACAUGCAAUUUUAUGUAAAAAGUUUUUAUUAGACUCACUGUAAAAGCGCACCUUUAGCAUUCUGUUUUAACAUACUGUAUUAUGAUUUCAGACGCACUAAUCUUAAUCUCAGAUAAUAUUUAUGAUGUUUAGAAUGUGAAUCCGUGAGAGUGAAGGACGCACAGCUUUCACACUGUUUCACAGCAGACACAAUAUUCACGGGCACAAGCCGUACGGAUCACAUCCAAACACACACAUCUGUCCUUUAUCUGUUGCUAUGCCUCUAUAAUCACUACAGCAGGAACAUCCGGCACUCAAUCACAGCCGUUUGGAGCUCAAGGACGUUUUCUGUAGCAGCAGAAAGAAAGACUCAAGACAAGAUGACCUCAAGACCUCUCUGAGAGUUAAAAGUGUCCUAUUAUGCAAAAAUAACUUUGAUAAGGUGUUUGAAUACAGUUGAGUGGACGCAGUGUGUGAAAACAACCAGCCUAUAAUGAUAAAAACCCACCCACUCAUUUUUUAUAAUCCCAAUAAAUCAUAAACAGUCUCUCCA
ensembl:lncRNA